UUUUCGUAGGUGAACCUGCGGAAGGAUCAUUAGUGAAUUACCGGAUUCCUCUGCAAAGAGAAGGUCCGAUCCACUAUCACACACACUGUGCACUUGUCAUUUUUUACACACUUUUGUAUGAAACAAGUCUUUUUACAAACUUGAUAAAGAAAGAAAAACUUUCAGCAAUGGAUCUCUUGGCUCUCGCAUCGAUGAAGAACGCAGC
rnacentral:misc_RNA from 1 species